rnacentral:rRNA from 1 species
UACAGAGGUCUCGAGCGUUAGGCGGAAUCACUGGGCUUAAAGCGUGUGUAGGCGGAUCGUUAAGUACCUUGUGAAAUCCCACGGCUCAACCGUGGAAGGUCAUUGGAAACUGGGGGACUUGAGUACAGAAGAGGAAAGCGGAAUUCCAAGUGUAGCGGUGAAAUGCGUAGAGAUUUGGAGGAACACCAGUGGCGAAGGCGGCUUUCUGGUCUGUAACUGACGCUGAGGCGCGAAAGCGUGGGGAGCAAACAGG